GGCCGCCUGGCGAAAUGGCAUCGCGUCUGACUACGAUCCUGUUGGACCUAUGUAUAAUCAGGAGAUUGCAGGUUCGACCCCUGCGGUGGUCA